UACGUAGGGUGCAAGCGUUGUCCGGAAUUAUUGGGCGUAAAGAGCUCGUAGGCGGUCUGUCGCGUCGAAUGUGAAAACCCGGGGCUCAACCCCGGGCCUGCAUUCGAUACGGGUAGACUAGAGUUCGGUAGGGGAGACUGGAAUUCCUGGUGUAGCGGUGAAAUGCGCAGAUAUCAGGAGGAACACCGGUGGCGAAGGCGGUUCUCUGGGCAUUACCUGACGCUGAGGAGCGAAAGUGUGGGGAGCGAACAGG
rnacentral:rRNA from 1 species